CUGGCUCAGUUCGGAUCGAAGUCUGCAACCCGACUUCGUGAAGCUGGAUUCGCUAGUAAUCGCGCAUCAGCCAUGGCGCGGUGAAUACGUUCCCGGGCCUUGUACUCACCGCCCGUA
rnacentral:rRNA from 1 species